rnacentral:rRNA from 1 species
GACGAACGCUGGCGGCGUGCUUAACACAUGCAAGUCGAGCGGUAAGGCCCUCUCGGGGGUACACGAGCGGCGAACGGGUGAGUAACACGUGGGUGACCUGCCCUCAGCUCUGGGAUAAGCCUGGGAAACCGGGUCUAAUACCGGAUAUGACUCCAUGACGCAUGUUGUGGGGUGGAAAGCCUUGUGCGGCUGAGGAUGGGCCCGCGGCCUAUCAGCUUGUUGGUGGGGUGANGGCCUACCAAGGCGACGACGGGUAGCCGGCCUGAGAGGGCGACCGGCCACACUGGGACUGAGACACGGCCCAGACUCCUACGGGAGGCAGCAGUGGGGAAUCUUGCGCAAUGGGCGAAAGCCUGACGCAGCGACGCCGCGUGAGGGAUGACGGCCU